rnacentral:rRNA from 1 species
AUGUGAAGCUCUUUCGACGAGUCGAGUUGUUUGGGAAUGCAGCUCAAAAUGGGUGGUAAAUUUCAUCUAAAGCUAAAUAUUGGCCAGAGACCGAUAGCGCACAAGUAGAGUGAUCGAAAGAUGAAAAGCACUUUGGAAAGAGAGUUAAACAGUACGUGAAAUUGUUGAAAGGGAAGCGCUUGCAACCAGACUUGCACGUUGUCGAUCAUCCGGGGCUCGCCCCGGUGCACUCGAUUUCGUUCAGGCCAGCAUCGGUUUCGGUGGUGGGAUAAAGGCCUUGGGAAUGUAGCUUCUUUCGGGGAGUGUUAUAGCCCUCGGUGCAAUGCCGCCUACCGGGACCGAGGACCGCGCUUCGGCUAGGAUGCUGGCGUAAUGGUUGUAAGCGACCCGUCUUGAAACACGGACCAAGGAGUCUAACAUCUAUGCGAGUGUUUGGGUGUCAAACCCAUACGCGUAAUGAAAGUGAACGGAGGKGAGAACCCUUAAGGGUGCAUCAUCGACCGAUCCUGAUGUCUUCGGAUGGAUUUGAGUAAGAGCAUAGCUGUUGGGACCCGAAAGAUGGKGAACUAUGCGUGAAUAGGGUGAAGCCAGAGGAAACUCUGGUGGAGGCUCGCAGCG